rnacentral:rRNA from 1 species
AGAGGGGGCAAGCGUUGUUCGGAAUUACUGGGCGUAAAGGGCGCGUAGGCGGCCUUCUAAGUCGAACGUGAAAUCCCUGGGCUCAACCCAGGAACUGCGUCCGAGACUGAAAGGCUCGAAUCCGGGAGAGGGAUGUGGAAUUCCAGGUGUAGCGGUGAAAUGCGUAGAUAUCUGGAGGAACAUCGGUGGCGAAGGCGGCACCCUGGACCGGUAUUGACGCUGAGGCGCGAAAGCCAGGGGAGCAAACGGGAUUAGAUACCCCGGUAGUCCUGGCCCUAAACGAUGAAUGCUUGGUGUGGCGGGCAUCGAUCCCUGCCGUGCCGAAGCUAACGCAUUAAGCAUUCCGCCUGGGGAGUACGGUCGCAAGGCUG